CGUUUUCUUUUCCUCUUUAACCCAUUUAACUGAAAUAAGAAAAUAAAACACAUCUAUUAAAUAAUAGAAACAACAAGAUUUUUAUUAAAAACUACACAAAGUUUGGAGGUCAUUAACGCACAACAAUAAACCCUAAAAUUUAUAAAAAAGUUGAACGGGAGGUGGGCGAUAGAGAUAGAGAUUGUUAACCUGAUUGGAAGACCAGGGAACCGUACUCAUCGAUUCUCUGUGGUCAAAGAUGAUAAAGUAAAUCAAAUUCUUUUGUUGGUUGUUGUGUUUUCACAUUAUUUUGUCUUAACUUUACGAGUUUAGUGGUCAUCUCACGUGAGUCACCACACUCUGUAUGAGUCCAUAUUUCUUUUGCCUUUCUUUUAAUGCUUCUAGAGUUUUAGUGGCCAAGAAUCUUUGUCGUGUGUCACUUUUUUGAUCAAAAGUUUAGUCUUUAUCUUAUAAGUAUAACACAUUUGUCAAGAACAUUGACUUAUACAUAAUUUAUCUAUGUUGAUGCAGGACAAGUUUCUUUAGACUAUAUGUGGGUGGAUACUGGACUUCAAACGGUUUAUAUAUUGGUGGUGAUAUAAGAUGAUGUAAAGUAGAGUUUGAAAGUCCAAGUGUAUCAAUGCUAGUAGGUAUGGUUCAGAAUGAAGGUUUUGCAGAUAAUAUGAGUAAAUUUUCAUAUUUUCCAUCAAGAGAAGAUAAUAGUCGGAAGGAAUUGUGUGGGGAUGCCGAUGUUGCGGAAAUGAUUAAGUGCACUCAUGAAUUGGAAAGUAUGAAUCUGUAUGUUGUUAGGGAUGAUGAUCCAUAUCUGGAAGAUGUGCUUGUUGGAGAAGAGGAAGAAGAAGAAGAACCUGAUGAUGAACCUACUGACUUUUACCGUGAUGAUUAUGCUGAGACUGAUGAUUCAGAUGAUGAUGGCAAUCAAAGUUCUUUUUUUGUUGGUCAAGCAUUUUUCUCCAAAGAAAGUUGCAAGAAAGCGAUUGAGAAGUAUGCUAUCAAAGAGAAGGUCAAUAUCCGUUUUCAAAAAUCUGAAAGUAAGAAAUUAGCUGCAGCAUGUGUACAAGAUUGUUGUAGUUGGAGGAUAUAUGCGUCAGUGAAUAGCCGGUCUACUAAUAUGGUUGUGAGAUCCUACAUUUGCACUCACACUUGUUAUCCAACAGGUGUAGUGAAAUUAUAUAGUGCACCUAAGAUAGCAUCUGAUUUUCUGAAUGAGUUCAGGACUAAUCAAAAGUUGAGUGCGGAUCAGAUGAUGCAAAGGUUGCUAAUCCAAGGUCUCCGGGUUCCAAAAUCAAAAUGCCAGAGUGCAAGACAAAUCAUGUUACACAUAAUUAGUGAUGAAUAUGCUGAGCAGUUCACUAGGAUGUUUGAUUAUGCAGAAGAGCUUCGUGAGUCAAAUCCUGGUUCAACCGUUAUAUUAGGGACAAAGGAUAAGGUUUUUGAAAAGUUCUACACAUGCUUUGAAGCUCAAAAAAGUGGAUGGAAAAGUGCAUGUAGACGUGUAAUUCAUUUGGAUGGAACGUUUCUUAAAGGACGGAUGAAAGGACAACUCUUGACUGCUGUGGGAAGGACGGAUGGAACGUUUCCACGUGCUUAUCAUUAUUCUGUUUUUUUUCUUGUUGUAGAGCAUUUUUUAAUGAUCUAACAAAGUCUGCUGCCGUAGAAAACAACCAUAGCGAGUCCUAUAACGCUGUGCUAAAAGAUGCUCGACGGAAACCAGUGGUCGCAUUGCUAGAGGACAUAAGGAGACAUGUUAUGUCCAGUAACAUGUUAAAAAUUAAAGAGAUGCAUAAUGCUACUGGGCUGAUCACACCAAAGGCAAGAGCUGUGAUGGAAAAGCGAAAAAAAAAUCUUAAGUGGUGUCAUCCCCUUCCUUCAGGAAGAGGAUGGUAUGAGGUGGAUCAUGGUAGAAAUAAAUAUCGAGUGUAUGUUCGAGGUGCUGUUUCUUGUACUUGCAGGGCAUAUGACGUGAGUGGCAUACCAUGUUGCCAUAUUAUGUCUGCUAUGUGGACUGAAUAUGGAGAAACAAAGCUACCAGAAACAGUUGUCUCUGAUUGGUAUUCAGUUGAGAAGUGGAAGCUUUGUUAUAGUUCGUUGCUUCGUCCUGUGAACGGGAUGCAAUUGUGGAAAACUCACACUGAUGUUGUAGUUAUGCCUCCUCCGGACAGGAUCAUGCCAGGAAGACCAAAAAACAAUGAUAGAAUCCGUGAGACAGCUGAAGUUCUUCCAUCGCAAGCUACGUCUGCACAUGAAAAAGUUCAAAUGACCUGCAGCAACUGUCAACAAGUUGGACAUAAUAUACGGUCAUGUAAGCGUGAAGCUGUGCCUAAACCAACUAAGAAACCUCGAGGAAGGCCGAGGAAAAAACAGAAGACAAUGGCUGAAGAAAAUGUCACCACUCAGCCAACACAAUCUUCCAUAAUUUCUUAGAAGAUAAUUCCCGAUUUAUUUUUUUACGUUGGCUUUUUGUGAAGUUCAUUUGCUUUGGUAAAACCAAGUUACACUACAAUAUCCUCUGUUUUUUUGGGCAAAAUACAGUACUCUGUUUCUUUGGUAAAAUAAGAUGUGCUGCUUUUUUUGGUAAAAUACAGUUCUCUGUUUUGGUGAUAAAUUUAUGUUAUCUGGAUAUAUAUUGCAAGCAUCCAAAGUACGUGUGCCUUAGAUAAAUAAAAAAACUUGCUGUUUUUGUACUAAUAUAGAUGUCUCGUUGUUUUUUCUAGUAAAAUGAUAUAUGGACAAAAAAAUUGUUUAAGUUUUAACGUCUCUUUAGACGGAGGGUUAUGUUUUCUAACAGAUUCAAGUUAAGGAUUUAUUUCAGUUUUAAAAUACUUGAGGGUUUUAAAAUGGAUGACAUUAUAGUUGAGGGUUUGUUUCAUUAAAUUCCCUCACAAUUGCUAUUAAAUUUAAAUUUUCCAUGUAAUUUCGUUCAUCAAUUACUAUUAAGAUUUUCCAUGUAAUUUCAUUCAUGACUGACUAAGCAAAUUCUUCAAAAAAUUCAAUGAUAGUAGCAAUCUCUUAUAAAUAUGUGUCUAUUUUCGACUUGUGGAUAUAUAUAUAGAAUAAAAUGAUUGUGACUUCUCUAUAUAUUUUUUUUGUAAUAAACUAGUUUCUUAUGUGUUGUGUUGCCGGUAAAAUUGUUAAUUUUAGUGAAUUAAAAAUAAUAUAUCUAAUUGAUAUUAUUAAUUUUUGUUUAUUGAUUCAUGUUAAUCCAAUUUUAAUUUAGAUUAUUAAGAUGUAUAUAUAUUUUGAUAUAUAAUAUGAUUUCAUAAAAAAAGAAAAUUUUUGCAAAAAACCUUGAUAUUGAAAAAAAGAUCUUCCUUUCAAAACAUUAUGUUAAGCAAUAUAAUGUUAUAUAUUUUCAAGAUUAAAACAUGUUUUCCUUAUAUCUAUACAUUUUCUUAGAUGAUUACAAAAAUAAUAUAAAACCAGUUACCUUCAGUUGACUAAAAGUAUUUUAUGAUUACUAUUAUUGAGAUGAUUCAUUAGAUUUUGCAUAUUAAUUUUUCAUUAAAACUAUUAUCCACACUUUCUUUACAUGUUUAUUAGAAUAAAAAAUAAAAAUAUACUAUAAAAAUUAAAAAAAAAAUUACUUAUAUAACAUAAUUUUCAAAAACAAAUCUUAAAAAAUGAUAUUAUUUUAUUUUUAAAAAAUAUUUAAACCAAGAUUUUAAAAUACUUAUUUAUCAUAAGCCUAUGUUUAUCAAAUACUUUUAAUAAAAUAAAAGUAUUAUACUUAACCAUAUCAAAAAAUAUUUGUUUUUGCUUAAUAUUUAUUUUUGGUUUUAAUUAACUAUUCUUUAUAUUUUAAAUUCAACAUUUACAAAAAAAAAUACAAGCAAAUCAAAUUCAUAUGUUUAGUAUUAUUUAAAAUAAAUUUUAAAAUAUUAUUGGUAUAUUUAUUUAGUUAUUUUCUAUUUAAUUUCAAUAUAUAUAUAUAUGUUUUUAAUAUAUUAAGGUAUACAUAGUUUUAUUAUUUAAGGUAACAAAUUAACCUGAAUUAAAAUAAGAAACUAUUCAAAAUUUUAUAUGUUUAGAUCAAAAAACGAUUAUAGUUGAAUACAAUUAAUUAUAUGAAGUCUAAUACAUCUAAAUAAUAACUAAACUAACUAGAUAUUAUAUAUUUAAAAUUAUCUGUGUAAUUAAUAUAACAAAUAAUUUUAAAACUAAGUUUAGAUCCGGUAAUUUUAAGGUUGGGCGGGUUUGGACUGCCGGCUUCAGUCCUAAUUGACAUCUCUACUCUAAUUUAUUUAGAAAAUAUCUAAUAAAACAAUCAGCCAUUACUAACUAAUGGAAAACCCAAAUAUCUUUGGAGAGGAGUAAGAUAUUAAUGAUGAGAAAUGAGAGUCAUGCUUCUUGUCUCAUGUCGGUGACCUUGACCCGGUUCCUACCAAAGCAACUUUUAAUUCUUUAAACAAAACUGCCAUGGGUCAAGUUGCUUAAUCACGUCGUAUAAAAUUUAUGUAUCUUUUUUCUUUUGUCAACGCAUAAAUAAAUAUUAACGUUGGGUUAGAAUCAUUAUUAUUCUUUCUAUAAUAAUUGUUUCUGUUGUUACACACGAAUUAUUGUUGUUGAUAGUUAAACGAUUUAUAAUUGAAAAAAAAAUAUAAUAGUAAAGCUCAUGACCAAUCAUAGUGCAAAAACCCAUUUAGCAGUUAAAUUUCAUUGGGCUAUAGCCCAGCACUCCUAUUGAAGAGCCGGUCUUGACAAGCAUGCUGUUUGGUUUAGUCGGAGACAUUGGAAGAAGACAACAGAUAACUUGACAAUUUAAAGCAAAAACUCAGAGACAAAGAGGAUGAAAAAGAUUCGAACAGUAAGAUAAAGCCGGAAACAA